CCUAACCUUAUCUCCAGCCGCCAUCCCACCCACCCGCAGUUCAUCCACUGCUCGCACAGGUUCGUCGCCCUCCUCCCUCUUGGAUGCUCGCACAGAGAAGGAGCUCAGUGAGGAAUCGAACGCAGCUCGACCCUACUCCCACACAAGAAGGGGCUCGGUGAGGAAUUGAAGGGCAACACGACCCGCACAGGUUCGUCGCCUCACGUUCCCUCCCUCCCCUUCGUCCCGCCUGGAUCCCCUAUCAUCUCUAGUGAUUCUCGGUAAGAUUGGAUGGAUUGAACUAGUGUUUUGGGCGCAGAGAAGGGGCUCAGAGAGGAACCAAAGGCAGCUGCCCUAGUUCUUCUCCUCUAAACCACAGAUCUGUAUUUUCUGGGGAUUUAUAUCACAUAUUCACGUAGGUUUGGGUCUCAAUCGAAGGUCCUAUUAUACCAAUCUAUUAAUUUACUAGUAAAAUAAAAUAAGGGAUUGGAUUGUGAUGAUAAUAAAAUAGGUUUGGGCCUUCCUCAUCCCUCCAUCUCUUUCUCCCUAGUUAUUGCCCUCAUUUCCAUCCUGCUUGCUUAGCUGUGUGUCACAUCUUGCCUUGCUGGUACUUAGAGGCCACCAGAUCUCCAGUCAGCAACGCCUCCGCCUGCCGGGGUGUUCUUUUUGCAUAAAAACAAUGGCGGAACGUGAGUGGAUAUCGAAGCAUUGCAUACCUGAGAAGGCUAGCAUUUUGAGCACAUAUGCUGCAAUGAAGUCUACAAUUAAUACAAUGGACAACAAUGGAGAAAGUGCUCCCAUUUCUCUCCAGAGAGCACAACAAUUGCUGGAAUAUAAGUUUGGACCCAAGAAGGCUAGCACUUUGAACAUAUAUGCUGUAAUGAAGUCUGGAUUCAAAGAAGUGGACAAUUCUCAGCCGUAGACCACAAAACCGUCUUGCAGUGGACAACUUAGAUCUAUGUAGGUGCUAGGACUUAUGUACGUUAGCAACGACUGAGAUAUUCUUACCUUUUAGCAUAAUGGUUGAACACUUUUUAAUCUGAUUGGAGUGUAGUUGUUGGACACUUUAAUUUGUAGUAUAUUUCAACUAAAUUAGUUGAAUAUAUUCAUGUAUUGGAACUUGAUUGUAUUUGUGCUGGAUUGUCAUAUCAUCAUGUGUCAGUUGAGUCUA